ACGGAAGGCAGCAGUGGGGAAUAUUGCACAAUGGGGGAAACCCUGAUGCAGCGACGCCGCGUGGGUGAUGAAGUAUUUCGGUACGUAAAACCCUAUUAGCAGGGAAGAUAAUGACGGUACCUGACUAAGAAGCUCCGGCUAAAUACGUGCCAGCAGCCGCGGUAAUACGUAUGGAGCAAGCGUUAUCCGGAUUUACUGGGUGUAAAGGGAGCGCGGUGGUUUUGUAAGUUGGAUGUGAAAGCCCGGGGCUCAACCUCGGGACUGCAUCCAAAACUACAUAACUAGAGUGUCGGAGGGGCAAGCGGAAUUCCUAGUGUAGCGGUGAAAUGCGUAGAUAUUAGGAGGAACACCGGUGGCGAAGGCGGCUUGCUGGACGAUAACUGACGCUGAGGCUCGAAAGCGUGGGGAGCAAACAGGAUUAGAUACCCUGGUA
rnacentral:rRNA from 1 species